ensembl:snoRNA
UGGACCAGUGAUGAUGACAGGUGAUGGCUGAUCCAUGGAUGAUGGGCAGUGCGCAUCUGGGUAUCUGAGGUCCAA